rnacentral:lncRNA from 1 species
CUUCACACCUACUGAAAGUCUCCUUGAUGUCCUGAAACAGCCGUAGGCCACCCUGCUGACUCUGCUCCUGGGCCUCGGCCAGCAAGCUGUGCUGUUUGGGCUCAGCUGGGUGGCCUGCUCUGAGAGGCGGCUGGCUGCAGCUCCCGCACGCCCCAACUGGGCUUCAUGCAUCUCUCGGAGGCGCCGCUGCAGCCCUGCCUGCUCUUCAGCCAGAAACCGCGUCAACUGCCCAAACUCUGAAGCCACAGCUGUAAGCUCUAACUUCAUCUGGCUCUUCAGUUCUGUCACCCGCCUCUCCUCCUUGGCCUUCAUCUUCUGCAUGACUUCCAGGUGCUUCCUCAGUGGUUCCAGGUGCCCUUGCAAUUUGGCCUUGUACUCCUGCACCACCUCCUCCAAUGGCACCACGCUGUGCUGUUUGUGGCUCCUAGAGUCACGGCACACCACACAGAUGGCUUCAUCUACCUCGCAGAAGAGCUUCAGUGCUUCUUGGUGUUUAGGACAGAUGCCCUGCUCGUUUACACGGCUCCCUCGAGCAGGGGUUGGAUGCAUCUGCCGAAUCCGGAACCAUGUUGGCCAGCUGCAAGUUGGGGCAGAAGCUCCGUUGAGGAAAGCUCUUUCGACACUGGGGGAGGAGUUUCUCUUCUGCUUGGUCAACUCCCGGGACUCUGAUGGGGCACUUUAUGGGGUGGCAUCACAGGGCAAGAGGAGGCCCCCUGUGUGGGUCUGUUCUAUGAAAUUUCUCAAUUUCCUGUCUUACACUAAUAAAGUGGCUGGUGACCCAAGGCCUGAUGCACGGGACGCUUUCUCUCCUGAUUUUACCACCUGAAUGAACCAAGAAGGACCAAAGAAAAGAAGUGGUAGAAUUUUCCAUACUGCCAAGAAAAAACCCACAAAAUCUAACCUUUUAUUGAAAAAAGUGUUCAUGUUUUAAGAGAAAAAGGGGGAAAGAAACCUCUCUGGGACCCUUGUUCCCCUCUAGUGCCUUUAAUAACUGCCUUUCACUUCCCAGACAAGUGCCUUUCACUUCCCAGACAAUUCUGAAGUCUAAUUUCUCAUCAACUCAUCCUUCUUCCUCCAGCUACCAGGCAGUCUGAAGCCAGGAGCCAGGAGCUCCAUUUGGGUCUCUUGUGAGUGGCAGGGGCCCAAGCACUAGGGCCAUUUUCUGCUGCCUUCCCAGGGUCAUUAACAGGGAGCUGGAUCAGAAGUGGAGCAGCCAACAAUUGAACAGACACCCAUAUGGGAUGCUGGGGGUCACAGGUGAUGGUUUAACCUGCUAUGCCACGACGCCAACCCCCUCAUUUUUCUAAAUUUUAUAUUUUUUGUUUAAAACGGAACACAAACAUAUGCAUUAGCCUGGGUUCACACAGGGUCAGGAUCAUCAAUGUCAUUCACCUCCAUCCACAUCUUGUUCCACUGGAGGAUCUUCAAGGAACAAAAAUAUGCACGUCCUCUCCUGUGGUAGCAUACAGUUGUUGUCUUCUGGACAACUUCCUGAUGAACCCGCCUGGGCUUCCUUUGAGGAGGGGUCACUCUUCAGAAAUAGGUCCAUGAUGAUUUGCUUGCUUGGUUUAUUUUAUUUCUUUAGUUUUCAUCACAGAUUUUCAUACAAGCAGAUAAUACACCAAGAAUAUUCCUCUCUAUUAUUGAAAACCAUCCCAUGUUGGGGUCCAAGUUUUCAAGAUUUUGAAGGAGCUCACUGACAUCUGCAAAAGUUUCUGCUAGACCCUUCUCUGUGAAUCUUCGUGGAGGUUCUUCUGUUUCAUCUCCUGCAGCUUCCUUUUCUCUUCCCUCUGCUUCAGCUAUGCAUUCCUAAGGUGACAGAAGAG